rnacentral:lncRNA from 1 species
GAGCUAUGCCCUCCCUGGGUGCUAUGGCAACUGCAUGAACCCAUCAUGCCCUGGGCCCUUCACUAAGGGACAAUUCCACCCAAUGAUCGACCUGAACAUUGUGCCUGGGAAUAGACUUACAGCCCAUGUAUCCAAGGCUAAAUGAAGACGCCAUCUCUUCUCCACCUCUUGAGCACCCUGCGUGUCCCGGGUCCCCGCAGGAGCACCGUGAGGUGGGCAGGCAGCUUUCUCACACCUGUGCAAUGAAGCAGCGGCCAGCCCCUUUCUGCCCAAGCCACCAACUUCCCC